GACGAACGCUGGCGGCGUGCCUAAUACAUGCAAGUUGAGCGAUGAAGCUUGGUGCUUGCUCCAAUUUGAAGAGCAGCGAACGGGUGAGUAACGCGUGGGGAAUCUGCCUUUGAGCGGGGGACAACAUUUGGAAACGAAUGCUAAUACCGCAUAACAACUUUAAACAUAAGUUUUAAGUUUGAAAGAUGCAAUUGCAUCACUCAAUGAUGAUCCCGCGUUGUAUUAGCUAGUUGGUGAGGUAAAGGCUCACCAAGGCGAUGAUACAUAGCCGACCUGAGAGGGGUAUCGGCCACAUUGGGACUGAGACACGGCCCAAACUCCUACGGGAGGCAGCAGGAGGGAAUCUUCGGCAAUGGACGAAAGUCUGACCGAGCAACGCCGCGUGAGGGAAGAAGGGUUUCGGAUCGGAAAACUCUGUUGGUAGAGAAGAACGUUGGUGAGAGUGGAAAGCUCAUCAAGUGACGGUAACUACCCAGAAAGGGACGGCUAACUACGUG
rnacentral:rRNA from 1 species